GACGAACGCUGGCGGCGUGCUUAACACAUGCAAGUCGAACGGAAAGGCCCUGCUUGCAGGGUACUCGAGUGGCGAACGGGUGAGUAACACGUGGGUGAUCUGCCCUGCACUUCGGGAUAAGCCUGGGAAACUGGGUCUAAUACCGGAUAGGAGCCAUUUUUAGUGUGAUGGUUGGAAAGUUUUUUCGGUGUAGGAUGAGCUCGCGGCCUAUCAGCUUGUUGGUGGGGUAAUGGCCUACCAAGGCGGCGACGGGUAGCCGGCCUGAGAGGGUGGACGGCCACAUGGGGACUGAGAUACGGCCCAGACUCCUACGGGAGGCAGCAGUGGGGAAUAUUGCACAAUGGGCGCAAGCCUGAUGCAGCGACGCCGCGUGGGGGAUGACGGCCUUCGGGUUGUAAACUCCUUUCGCUAGGGACGAAGCUUUUGUGACGGUACCUAGAGAAGAAGCACCGGCUAACUACGUG
rnacentral:rRNA from 1 species